rnacentral:rRNA from 1 species
AAUGAUUACCCUGGAACGGUGGAUCACUUGGCUCGUGGGUCGAUGAAAGAACGCAGCCUAAUUGC